rnacentral:hammerhead_ribozyme from 1 species
AUCCGACUGAUGAGUCCCAAAUAGGACGAAACACGCGCCCUGGAU